rnacentral:rRNA from 1 species
ACGCUUUGUGGUUCAACUGAUUUGAAGAGCUUGCUCAGAUAUGACGAUGGACAUUGCAAAGAGUGGCGAACGGGUGAGUAACACGUGGGAAACCUACCUCUUAGCAGGGGAUAACAUUUGGAAACAGAUGCUAAUACCGUAUAACAAUGACAACCGCAUGGUUGUUAUUUAAAAGAUGGUUCUGCUAUCACUAAGAGAUGGUCCCGCGGUGCAUUAGCUAGUUGGUAAGGUAAUGGCUUACCAAGGCGAUGAUGCAUAGCCGAGUUGAGAGACUGAUCGGCCACAAUGGGACUGAGACACGGCCCAUACUCCUACGGGAGGCAGCAGUAGGGAAUCUUCCACAAUGGGCGAAAGCCUGAUGGAGCAACGCCGCGUGUGUGAUGAAGGGUUUCGGCUCGUAAAACACUGUUGUAAGAGAAGAAUGACAUUGAGAGUAACUGUUCAAUGUGUGACGGUAUCUUACCAGAAAGGAACGGCUAAAUACGUGCCAGCAGCCGCGGUAAUACGUAUGUUCCAAGCGUUAUCCGGAUUUAUUGGGCGUAAAGCGAGCGCAGACGGUUAUUUAAGUCUGAAGUGAAAGCCCUCAGCUCAACUGAGGAAUUGCUUUGGAAACUGGAUGACUUGAGUGCAGUAGAGGAAAGUGGAACUCCAUGUGUAGCGGUGAAAUGCGUAGAUAUAUGGAAGAACACCAGUGGCGAAGGCGGCUUUCUGGACUGUAACUGACGUUGAGGCUCGAAAGUGUGGGUAGCAAACAGGAUUAGAUACCCUGGUAGUCCACACCGUAAACGAUGAGUGCUAGGUGUUUGAGGGUUUCCGCCCUUAAGUGCCGCAGCAAACG